AAUCGCUCAAACGACAACAGUCCGUAGAACAAAAGUCGAAAAUAGUGCGCGACCAUCAUCUGCUUUGAUUAAACAACAAAGAGAGAACAACAAGAAUUUCUAAUGCUGCCUCUCACUCGCACUUCUACUACCCACCAAUACACGCGCGUCUCACGCCCACUCCAAUUGGAAACACCUGACGAAACGCCAAUAAGUGCGCUCAAUUAACUAAACGUUUGGCUAACCCGUCCAAUUGGAAAAUUUGUAAUUUUCUAAUUGGUGAAAACGAAGGUCUUCCAGCUGGCAGAGUUGCCGUACUGUCCACUUGUCAGCCUGACACUGACGACCGCAGUGUUGGUAAACAUACGAAAUGCCCACUAUGUUCGUAUUUUAAAUAUAUGUUUUGUUUUUUAAAUUGUACACUAA